rnacentral:rRNA from 1 species
GACCCUCGGGUCGUAAACUUCUGUCRGAGGGGACGAAAGCMUUCGGAGCGAAUAACUUCRGGUGUUGACGGUACCCUACGAGGAAGCCCCGGCUAACUCCGUGCCAGCAGCCGCGGUAAUACGGGGGGGGCAAGCGUUGUUCGGAAUUACUGGGCGUAAAGGGCGCGUAGGCUGUCCCGCAAGUCCUUCGUGAAAUCCCACASYUCAACUGUGGAAUUGCGAGGGAAACUGCAGGACUUGAGUCCGGGAGAGGAGAGUGGAAUUCCCAGKGUASCGGUGAAAUGCGUARAUAUUGRGAGGAACACCGGUGGCRAAGGCGGCUCUCUGGACCGGUACUGACSCUGAGGSGCGAAAGCUAGGGGAGCAAACGGGAUUAGAUACCCCGGUAGUCCUAGCCCUAAACRAUGAGCACUUGGUGUGGCGGGWAUCGACCCCUGCCGUGCCGAAGCUAACGCAUUAAGUGCUCCGCCUGGGGAGUACSGKCGCAAGGCUGAAACUCAAARGAAUUGACGGGGGCCCGCACAAGCGGKGGAGCAUGUGGUUCAAUUCGACGCAACGCRAAGAACCUUACCUGGGUUUGAACUGCUAGGGACCGGUGCAGAGAUGUACCUUUCCUUCGGGACCCUAGUAGAGGUGCUGCAUGGCUGUCGUCAGCUCGUGUCGUGAGAUGUUGRGUUAMGUCCCGCAACGAGCGCAACCCUUGCCCUCUGUUGCUACCRK